AGUCCCGUUGCCAUUUUGAAAAAUACAAAUGUCCUAAUCUUUCAAAACUCAAUUCUUAUUCUUCUAUUGUAUUAAAAUCAUAUUUUGAUUUCGAUUCUAAUUCUAGUUAGGACUCAAACACAUCGGGGGAUAUGUCCAUUCCAAUUUGUAUUCUAAUUUAUUACAAUUCCUAUAUGGAGCAAACCAGAUACAUCCUUAAUUGGUUGAUGAUGAAAAAAAUUACGUGAUAGGGCA
rnacentral:lncRNA from 1 species